CUACGGGAGGCAGCAGUAGGGAAUAUUGCGCAAUGGACGAAAGUCUGACGCAGCGAUGCCGCGUGAGUGACGAAGGCCCUAGGGUCGUAAAGCUCUUUUCUGAGGGAAGAAUGGUCCGGGCAGGAAAUGGUCUGGAUUUGACGGUACCUCAGGAAUAAGGAACGGCUAACUCCGUGCCAGCAGCCGCGGUAAUACGGAGGUUCCAAGCGUUGUUCGGAAUUACUGGGCGUAAAGGGAGCGCAGGCGGACAGGUCAGUUUAAAGUGGAAUCCCAGGGCUCAACCCUGGACGUGCUUUGGAUACUGCCUGUCUUGAGUUUGUGAGAGGAAAGUGGAAUUCAGGGUGUAGCGGUGAAAUGCUUAGAUAUCCUGAGGAACACCAGUGGCGAAAGCGACUUUCUGGCACAUAACUGACGCUGAGGCUCGAAAGCAUGGGUAGCGAACGGGAUUAGAAACCCUUGUAGUCC
rnacentral:rRNA from 1 species